rnacentral:rRNA from 1 species
ACUAUGCUUAGCCCUAAACAUAGAUUUAAUGACCCCAUUAAAUCCGCCAGGAAAUUACGAACAUUAGUUUAAAACCCAAAGGACUUGGCGGUGCCUUAUACCCC